ensembl:snoRNA
AGCCUCAUUCCAGAUGAGGAUGGGCACUGUUGAUCAGGGUCCAGAAUUGGUCACUGAGGCUAAAACUGAGACACAGGUUGCGCUUCUAGCACAGUAAAUGUGCUGCAGUGGUGACUGUGAGACCUGUAACAUCU